rnacentral:rRNA from 1 species
UACGUAGGUGGCAAGCGUUGUACGGAUUUAUUGGGCGUAAAGCGAGCGCAGGCGGUUCCUUAAGUCUGAUGUGAAAGCCCACGGCUCAACCGUGGAGGGUCAUUGGAAACUGGUAGACUUGAGUGCAGAAGAGGGAAGUGGAAUUCCAUGUGUAGCGGUGAAAUGCGUAGAGAUAUGGAGGAACACCAGUGGCGAAGGCGGCUUCCUGGUCUGUAACUGACACUGAGGCGCGAAAGCGUGGGGAGCAAACAGGAUUAGAUA